rnacentral:rRNA from 1 species
AUUGAACGCUGGCGGCAUGCCUUACACAUGCAAGUCGAACGGCAGCACGGGGCAACCUGGUGGCGAGUGGCGAACGGGUGAGUAAUGCAUCGGAACGUACCUUUCAGUGGGGGAUAACGUAGCGAAAGUUACGCUAAUACCGCAUAUUCUGUGAGCAAGAAAGCAGGGGCUCGCAAGACCUUGCGCUGAUUGAGCGGCCGAUGUCAGAUUAGCUAGUUGGUGAGGUAAAGGCUCACCAAGGCGACGAUCUGUAGCGGGUCUGAGAGGAUGAUCCGCCACACUGGAACUGAGACACGGUCCAGACUCCUACGGGAGGCAGCAGUGGGGAAUUUUGGACAAUGGGGGCAACCCUGAUCCAGCCAUGCCGCGUGAGUGAAGAAGGCCUUCGGGUUGUAAAGCUCUUUCGGCCGGGAAGAAAUCGCACGGGCUAAUACCCUGUGUGGAUGACGGUACCGGAAUAAGAAGCACCGGCUAACUACGUGCCAGCAGCCGCCGUAAGAC